ACGUAGGGGUCGAGCGUUGUCCGGAGUUACUGGGCGUAAAGCGCAUGCAGGCGGCUCAUUACGCAUGGCGUGAAAGCCCCCGGCUCAACCGGGGAGGGUCGUCGUGAACGGGUGAGCUUGAGGGUAUCAGGGGCUGGUGGAAUUCCCGGUGUAGUGGUGAAAUGCGUAGAGAUCGGGAGGAACACCUGUGGCGAAGGCGGCCAGCUGGGAUACACCUGACGCUGAGAUGCGAAGGCGUGGGGAGCGAACGG
rnacentral:rRNA from 1 species